rnacentral:rRNA from 1 species
GGAUAUCUUUCUGAAUGCCUGGCAUUCAGGUUUGAGGAUUGACUUUUGUCUUUCCUUACAUUUCCAGGCCUAUGUUUUCUUCAUAUACACCAUGUAUGUUAUAGAAUGUAAUAAAAAGGCCUUUGUGCCUACAAACCUAUACAACUUUCAGCAACGGAUCUCUUGGCUCUCGCAUCGAUGAAGAACGCAGCGAAAUGCGAUAAGUAAUGUGAAUUGCAGAAUUCAGUGAAUCAUCGAAUCUUUGAACGCACCUUGCGCUCCUUGGUAUUCCGAGGAGCAUGCCUGUUUGAGUGUCAUUAAUAUAUCAACCUCCUCAGGUUUUUACUUGUCGAGUGUUUGGAUGUGGGGGUAUCUUUUGCUGGUCUCUUUUGAGGUCGGCUCCCCUGAAAUGCAUUAGCGGAACAAUUUGUUGACUCGUUCAUUGGUGUGAUAACUAUCUACGCUAUUGACGUGAAGCAGGUUCAGCUUCUAACAGUCCAUUGACUUGGACAAAUUUUCAUUAAUGUGACCUCAAAUCAGGUAGGACUACCCGCUGAACUUAAGCAUAUCAAUAAGCGGAGGAAAAGAAACUAACAAGGAUUCCCCUAGUAACUGCGAGUGAAGCGGGAAAAGCUCAAAUUUAAAAUCUGGCAGUCUUUGGCUGUCCGAGUUGUAAUCUAGAGAAGUGUUAUCCGCGCUGGACCGUGUACAA